GACGAACGCUGGCGGCGUGCUUAACACAUGCCAGUCGAACGAAGAGCGAUGGAAGCUUGCUUCUAUCAAUCUUAGUGGCGAACGGGUGAGUAACGCGUAAUCAACCUGCCCUUCAGAGGGGGACAACAGUUGGAAACGACUGCUAAUACCGCAUACGAUCUAAUCUCGGCAUCGAGGAUAGAUGAAAGGUGGCCUCUACAUGUAAGCUAUCACUGAAGGUGGGGAUUGCGUCUGAUUAGCUAGUUGGAGGGGUAACGGCCCACCAAGGCGAUGAUCAGUAGCCGGUCUGAGAGGAUGAACGGCCACAUUGGGACUGAGACACGGCCCAGACUCCUACGGGAGGCAGCAGUGGGGAAUCUUCCGAAAUGGACGAAAGUCUGACGGAGCAACGCCGCGUGAGCGAUGACGGCCUUCGGGUUGUAAAGCUCUGUUAAUCGGGACGAAAGGCCUUCUUGCGAAUAGUGAGAAGGAUUGACGGUACCGGAAUAGAAAGCCACGGCUAACUACGUG
rnacentral:rRNA from 1 species